rnacentral:rRNA from 1 species
AACGAACGCUGGCGGCAGGCUUCAUACAUGCAAGUCGAACGGCCCGCAAGGGCAGUGGCGCACGGGUGCGUAACACGUGGGAAUAUGCCCUUCAGUACGGAACAACGUCGGGAAACUGACGCUAAUACCGUAUAAUGUCUCCGGACCAAAGAUUUAUCGCUGAAGGAUUAGCCCGCGUCUGAUUAGGUAGUUGGAGAGGUAAUGGCUCACCAAGCCGACGAUCAGUAGCUGGUCUGAGAGGAUGAUCAGCCACACUGGGACCGAGACACGGCCCAGACUCCUACGGGAGGCAGCAGUAAGGAAUAUUGGACAAUGGGGGAAACCCUGAUCCAGCCAUGCCGCGUGAGUGAAGAAGGCCUUCGGGUUGUAAAGCUCUUUUACCCCUGACGAUAAUGACGGUAAGGGGAGAAAAAGCCACGGCUAACUUCGUGCCAGCCGCCGCUGUAA